GGCAGGGCGAGGGCAGCGCCAAGAUGGCGGCGCGCUGCCAGUACUCAACAUGGCGCCUGUGCCCGCGGUUGCAGCCGAAGUAAGAGUGUCGAUUUUUCCGUGGUUAUAUUACCUUAGCGGUGCUAAAAACGAGGGGAAAGCUCGUGCGCUGGCGGAUGAGAGGAGUGCAGUGCUGUAGGGAAUGUCCUUCCUGGAUGACAUCUGAUACCAACUGAUCUGCAAUUUUUGUGUAAUUCUGUUAAUGGGAAAAGGCACUGAGGAACUGCAGGAAUGAAUUGGCCUCCCUGUGAGUCACGAGGUCUUAAACUUAGAAAUUCAGCUGUGCAAUAAGCAUGUGAUCUCAUCAGCAUGCCAGGAGAAAUUCCCAGAGUGCCUGAUCCUCAGCAGUUGGUUGGAAGCACCCCCAGCCCAGGGUUGUUUUGUGGCUGGACGGAAUUGGCUGCGAGUCCUGGUAGGAAUGAGCUCAUCCCAAGGAGUGAGCUCUGCCUGGUGUCCCCUGACCUCUGUGGGAACAGCGUGUGUGCAGCCUGCAGAGCACUGAUUUCAUGGAAUACAUGUUUACCAGCUGCAGCCAAGAUUUAUUGCCCAAUUCUGAGUGCUGUGGGGUGGCCUGUGCAGUCACUGAGUUCUCUGGUUUUCAUUGUGAAUAUGAAGAAAUAUGGGGGAAAAUUUAAUCUACUGCCUUUUGAUGAUGUGCAGAAGCACAACCAGUCCUGUAACAGAUGAGUAAGUUGGUUGCCCAGAGAGAUUGUAGAUCCCCAUCCCUGGAAGUGUCUAAAGCCAGGCUGGACAGGGCUUGGAGUAACCUGGUCUAGUGGAAAGUGUCCCUGCUCAUGGCAGGGGGUGGAACAAGAUGACCUUCAAAAGUCCCUUCCAACCCAAACCAUUCCAUGAUUCUGUGAAAUAAAAAUUACUUUAAAUAUGAUCUGCA
rnacentral:lncRNA from 1 species